rnacentral:rRNA from 1 species
AGCAUAUCAAUAAGCGGAGGAAAAGAAACUAACAAGGAUUCCCCUAGUAACUGCGAGUGAAGCGGGAAAAGCUCAAAUUUAAAAUCUGGCGGUCUUUGGCCGUCCGAGUUGUAGUCUGGAGAAGUGUUUUCCGUGCUGGACCGUGUACAAGUCUCUUGGAACAGAGCGUCAUAGAGGGUGAGAAUCCCGUCUUUGACACGGACUACCAGUGCUUUGUGAUGCGCUCUCAAAGAGUCGAGUUGUUUGGGAAUGCAGCUCAAAAUGGGUGGUAAAUUCCAUCUAAAGCUAAAUAUUGGCGAGAGACCGAUAGCGAACAAGUACCGUGAGGGAAAGAUGAAAAGCACUUUGGAAAGAGAGUUAAACAGUACGUGAAAUUGCUGAAAGGGAAACGCUUGAAGUCAGUCGCGUUGAUCAGAACUCAGCCUUGCUUUUGCUUGGUGCAUUUUCUGGUUGACGGGCCAGCAUCGAUUUUGACCAUCGGAAAAAGGCCAGGGGAAUGUGGCACCUUCGGGUGUGUUAUAGCCCUUGGUCACAUACGGUGGUUGGGAUCGAGGACCGCAGCACGCCUUUAUGGCCGGGGUUCGCCCACGUUCGUGCUUAGGAUGCUGGCGUAAUGGCUUUAAACGACCCGUCUUGAAACACGGACCAAGGAGUCUAACAUGCCUGCGAGUGUUUGGGUGGAAAACCCGAGCGCGUAAUGAAAGUGAAAGUUGAGAUCCCUGUCGUGGGGAGCAUCGACGCCCGGACCUGAACUUCGGUGAUGGCUCUGCGGUAGAGCAUGUAUGUUGGGACCCGAAAGAUGGUGAACUAUGCCUGAAUAGGGUGAAGCCAGAGGAAACUCUGGUGGAGGCUCGUAGCGAUUCUGACGUGCAAAUCGAUCGUCAAAUUUGGGUAUAGGGGCGAAAGACUAAUCGAACCAUCUAGUAGCUGGUUCCUG